GCAACAGCUCAAAUUUGAAAUCUGGCCCCCCGGCCCGAGUUGUAAUUUGCAGAGGAUGCUUUUGGUGAGGCACCUACCGAGUCCCCUGGAAUGGGGCGCCAUAGAGGGUGAGAGCCCCGUAUGGUAGGACGCCGAGCCUCUGUAAAGCUCCUUCGACGAGUCGAGUAGUUUGGGAAUGCUGCUCUAAAUGGGAGGUAAAUUUCUUCUAAAGCUAAAUACCGGCCAGAGACCGAUAGCGCACAAGUAGAGUGAUCGAAAGAUGAAAAGCACUUUGAAAAGAGGGUUAAAAAGUACGUGAAAUUGUUGAAAGGGAAGCGCUUGUGACCAGACUUGCGCCGGGCGGAUCAUCCAGCGUUCUCGCUGGUGCACUCCGCCCGGUUCAGGCCAGCAUCGGCUUUCGCCGGGGGACAAAGGCUUCGGGAACGUGGCUCCUUUCGGGGAGUGUUAUAGCCCGUUGCGUAAUACCCCGGCGGGGACCGACGACCGCGCUUCGGCAAGGAUGCUGGCGUAAUGGUCAUCAGCGACCCGUCUUGAAACACGGACCGAGGAGUCAAGCAUUAGUGCGAGUGUUUGGGUGUAAAACCCGCACGCGUAAUGAAAGUGAACGUAGGUGAGAGCUUCGGCGCAUCAUCGACCGAUCCUGAUGUUUUCGGAAGGAUUUGAGUAGGAGCAUUAACGCUUGGACCCGAAAGAUGGUGAACUAUACUUGAAUAGGGUGAAGCCAGAGGAAACUCUGGUGGAGGCUCGCAGCGGUUCUGACGUGCAAAU
rnacentral:rRNA from 1 species